CCCAGCGAGGCACACACUCUCCACGCACAAAUUCACACAGACGCACACACGUGGAGGAAUUCUGGCUUCAAUCAAGGGACCCCAUGGGAGAGAGGAAAGGGCCCUAAGCCAUGAGACAGGGGCUGGCUCUGCUAAGUGGGGAGGGAGGUUCUGUUCUGGCCUGAUAAGUCAUCUAUUUGAAUGGAUCGUCAUUCUCACAGAUGGGGAGAGAAAGAGAGGGAGCGCGCUGCACCUUGGCGAAGAAAAGGGAGGAGGAGGAUGCCGAGGAGGAGGAGGAAUUAAUUUUUCCCCUCUGGGAGAAACACAUGCUGGAUCUCAAGAGUUGGAGGGAAUCUUCCCAUCUUGCUCUGAUUGGCAUUAAGAGGGUGGAGGGGGGGAGCGGAAAGGAUGAGAGGGAACGAGAUGCCAUGGUUGUUACUAAUGAUUUAUUGUGUGAAAUGUGAACGGUGCUGUGGUGGGUGCUUGUCGUUCAGGCUUUUUCGCUGUGGGAUUGGUUUAUGUCUGUGAGCUUCACUAAAUGCAUUAUCAGGUAUGUAAGACCUGAACAACUGGGACUUCUGCUUCACGCUUAUGGAAACACAAAAACUUUAAAAGUAGUUUCCAAACCUCGGAAAUAAUAAAGUGCUUAUUGUUCAGCAACGGACGCGUCUUUGAAUUUCUAUUUUAGAAAAGAAAGAAUUGCUCAGAUUUGGAAACUGGAGCAGAUCAGACCUUCAGACUCUUUGCAGGUUAAUGAUGGACAUCUUUGGAAAAUGAACCGUGUUUUAGAACUCGGCUGCUUAAUAUAUGGAAAUCGAUUGCACACAUGGAGAUUAAACAUUAAUGUGCGAUUUACUUACACAGAUACAAUUUGCCAAGGUUCCAUUUUUACAAGUCCCUAAGUUUGACUGGUUGAAGCCAUAAAUUGUCAGAUUCCUGUGAACUGGGUUGCAAUAAUUG